ensembl:lncRNA
AUGGGAUUCUCCAGGCAGGGAUACUGGAGUGGGUUGCCGUGCCCUCCUCCAGGGGAUCUUUCCUGGACCUCAUGUCAUCCCAAUGCAUCUCAUCCAGGGAGCUGUGGGUCUUUAAGUCUGGGGGCUUUGGGAGGCAGAGAAUACUUCCAGCACCUUCCUGAAUGUUCUAUCAGAGACUUGGCUGAGGAAAUCCGCCUUGCUUUCCUUCUGACCCAGCUACGAUACUCUGAGGGUGGAGCCGAGGGCACAUUUGUGUUGAUGGUGGAGGAGCAUCAUUUCCACAUGGGUGCCGGGCUCGCAGCUGCGAAGAACAGCCUUACCAACAUCAUCAAGCUGGAGCAGAACUUCCCCCAGUUCCACGCCCUUCCUGGGGAGCUGGUCCUUCAGACCUCAUACGAGCGAGCCCGUGGCACCCAAGUCCUGCACCACACGGUGCUGUGGGAUGGGCAGGGCGUGGCCCUCAAGGGGAGCCUCAAUGGGAGCCUCUCCAUGCCCUUCCUCAAGCCCGCUGGGACCCUUGGUCUGCAGGUGGAGCUCACCCACCCGCUGCCCCUGCCCCUUCCAUGGCACUGCAGCUUCCGCCUGACCUCCGAGCAUUCAGCACGCCGUCACCAGGAUGACCUGGUUGUGGGCUGGGACGGCAAGGACCAGGUGGCGCUGUCCUCCUCUCUGCAGCUGGGAAAGGGCAAGCUGGCCGCCCGCCUGGCCCUGGCUCACCCUUUCAGCCUCUCCUGGCGGCAGGCCCAGGCCAGUGGCCUUGCUGAGAGCAGGGGCGGCAGGCAGAGCUGGCAGGUGCAGCUUGCCUGGAACGGAGGGCAGCCGCUGGCCUUGCAGCUCACCUGGGCCAACAGGUCCUCGACGCAGAGCACCUCCUGGGAUGGUUGCGUGGCUGCCUCCCUGGGGCAGCUCCAGGACACCUGGGGCCUGGGCACCCUCAGGGCCUGUGGGGCCUUAACGCAGACCCCAGCUGUGCUCAGCGAGUGGCUGGAUCUGUCCUGGGACGGACGCCAGGUGCGGCAGAACCUGACUUACGAGAGGCGCCAGCCAUUCCUCCCGGACAAGAUCCAUGCAGAGGCCAUGCUGGAGCAUGUCCUCGGGGCCCCCUGCUCCACGCAGAGCUUCUGGGGAGACGUGGAGACAGACCAUGCCCGCUGGGUGCGCCACUCCCUGCGGCUGGGGCUCUGCCACCUGCCCACGGUGAGUGUGUCCCCGGGGAAGGGCCCAGGGAUCCAGCGGUAAAGAGAGAGGAGGGUGCCCACCCAGGGCAGGGGUGUGAGUGAGGGAGCCGGGUCCCGUCAUCAUGGGUCCUCACAGGCCUGCAGGCAGCCCCGGGCAGGGCGCUGUCCUCUCUGAGUAUCUGGUGUUUCAUCUGAGGGAUGGGAGACACAGUUGGUUCCAGCACGUGGGGUGAUGGGGAGAUUUAAGAUGUGGCACUGGGAAAGUGCUCGACAUGUAAACCAAGCUGCUGUUUUCAUUGUUGUUAGGGGGAGGGGUUGGGACCCCUAUCCCCCAACAUUCCCCUGGGUUUGUUAGCUAGUUGAUUGUUCUUUCCUGCCUUCCUCCACCCACCUUUUACCCAUCUUUCCAGCCAUCCAUCCAUCCAUCCAUCUACCCACUCUCCAAUCCAUCCUCCCAUUCAUCCAUCCAUUCCUUCAUCCUCCCCAUCUUCCAGCCUCCUCCCUUCCAUCCAUCCUUCCAUCUAUCCAUCCUUCCCCUUUCCCGUUCCCCACACCCUCUCAUCUCUCUAACAGUCCCGGGGGUCACAAACUUUUCCUCCAAAGGGCCAGGUAGUAAAUAUUUUAUUUAUUUAAAAAAUUUGUUUUUGUUUGUGUUGGGUCUUUGGUCUUUGUCCGUGUUGCCGCGUGAGGGCUUCCUCUAGUUGCGGCGAGCAGGGACCACUCCCUUGGUGCGCUGCACGGGCGUCUCACUGCGGUGGCUUCUCCUGUUGCAGAGCACGGGCUCUGGGCACCAGGGCUUCAGUAGUUGCGGUGUCCAGGUUUAGUUUCUCCGUGGCAGCUGAGAUCUUCCCGGACCAGGGACUGAACCCGUGUCCUCUGCACUGGCAGGCAGAUUCUUAACCACUGAGCAGCCAGGGAAGUCACAGUGAAUAUUUCAGGUCUUACAGACCAUGUGGACUCUGUUGCAGCCACUCAAGUCUGCCAUUCAGCCGUGAAGGCCACCGUGGAGGACGUGUAAAUGAAGGGGUAUGGCCAGUCCCAAUAAAAACUAUUUACAAGAACAGGCAGUGAACCAGAUUUGGCCCAUGAGCCGAAGUUGCCAGCCCCCAACCUGUCCAUCCAUUCAGAGAGCAUUUGUGGGUCUUUCUUAUGCCAGGCUCUGUUCUAGGUGCAGGCACAAGGAUGGUGAAAGGGACAGACCAGGUGCCCGCCCUCCCGAAGCUCAGAGUCCCGUGGGUAGAAGAAGAUAAACAAGACAGGUGUAGUGAAUGCUAUGAAAGAAUGAAGCAGGGAGAGGGACGAAUGCAGAAUGCGGUGAGAACAGCCAGUGCAAAGGCCCUGUGGCGGAGCAUGCUUAUAGAUGUUUGAGGAACACAGGGUGGCUUUACAGAGAGAGCAAGGAGGUGAGGUUAGGAAGAUAAUGCACGUCCAC